GAUGAACGCUGGCGGCGUGCCUAAUACAUGCAAGUCGAGCGAACGGACGAGAAGCUUGCUUCUCUGAUGUUAGCGGCGGACGGGUGAGUAACACGUGGAUAACCUACCUAUAAGACUGGGAUAACUUCGGGAAACCGGAGCUAAUACCGGAUAAUAUUUUGAACCGUAUGGUUCAAAAGUGAAAGACGGUCUUGCUGUCACUUAUAGAUGGAUCCGCGCUGCAUUAGCUAGUUGGUAAGGUAACGGCUUACCAAGGCAACGAUGCAUAGCCGACCUGAGAGGGUGAUCGGCCACACUGGAACUGAGACACGGUCCAGACUCCUACGGGAGGCAGCAGUAGGGAAUCUUCCGCAAUGGGCGAAAGCCUGACGGNAGCACGCCGCGUGAGUGAUGAAGGUCUUCGGAUCGUNAAACUCUGUUAUUAGGGAAGAACAUAUGUGUAAGUAACUGUGCACAUCUUGACNGCACCUAAUCAGAAAAGCACGGCUAACUACGUGCCAGCAGCCCGCGUAAUACGUANGUGGCAAGCGUAUCCGGAAUUAUGGGCGUAAGCGCGCGUAGGCGGUUUUUUAGUCUGAUGUGAAAGCCCACGGCUCAACCGUGGAGGGUCAUUGGAAACUGGAAAACUUGAGUGCAGAAGAGGAAAGUGGAAUUCCAUGUGUAGCGGUGAAAUGCGCAGAGAUAUGGAGGAACACCAGUGGCGAAGGCGACUUUCUGGUCUGUAACUGACGCUGAUGUACGAAAGCGUGGGGAUCAAACAGGAUUAGAUACCCUGGUAGUCCACGCCGUAAACGAUGAGUGCUAAGUGUUAGGGGGUUUCCGACCCUUAGUGCUGCAGCUAACGCAUUAAGCACUCCGCCUGGGGAGUACGACCGCAAGGUUGAAACUCAAAGGAAUUGACGGGGACCCGCACAAGCGGUGGAGCAUGUGGUUUAAUUCGAAGCAACGCGAAGAACCUUACCAAAUCUUGACAUCCUUUGACAACUCUAGAGAUAGAGCCUUCCCCUUCGGGGGACAAAGUGACAGGUGGUGCAUGGUUGUCGUCAGCUCGUGUCGUGAGAUGUUGGGUUAAGUCCCGCAACGAGCGCAACCCUUAAGCUUAGUUGCCAUCAUUAAGUUGGGCACUCUAAGUUGACUGCCGGUGACAAACCGGAGGAAGGUGGGGAUGACGUCAAAUCAUCAUGCCCCUUAUGAUUUGGGCUACACACGUGCUACAAUGGACAAUACAAAGGGCAGCGAAACCGCGAGGUCAAGCAAAUCCCAUAAAGUUGUUCUCAGUUCGGAUUGUAGUCUGCAACUCGACUACAUGAAGCUGGAAUCGCUAGUAAUCGUAGAUCAGCAUGCUACGGUGAAUACGUUCCCGGGUCU
rnacentral:rRNA from 1 species